AUAUUUUUCCAACUUAUCUGCAAAACCAGUUUUGCCUUUGCUCCCCCAGGGGUUCCAUUUCCUUAAGAACAGGAUAUUACAACCAGGCAGAGGGAGAGGGUCAAAAUAUAAUUUUUUAAAGAAAUGGACUGAGUUUUUACUGGGCAUGCAGUGUCAUCCAGCAGAGGAGUCCUGGGAGCUGCCAAUUACGGUCUGAUGCAAUGUUUGGGAAAGAGCUGCAGAGUACACAUGACUCAACACAAUGUGACGAUUUGCAUUCCUAUCUCUUGGGAAGUUGUACUUAUCAGCACCACCAAGUACCAUGCGGUCAGCAAGAGAGCUGGGCUGAGUGUGUCAUUGGAGAAUUAAAAAGGAAUUAAAAGUCAAGACGGGGUUCUGGGGAGAAUGCAAAGAAGAGUUCCAUCACCACAGCAGAUGCCCCUGGAGGAGGGCUGAGCCUCCGUCAAUGCUACACCAAUAAAGGCACCUUUAGGAAAAUGGCUGGAAGCAAUUCAUCCGCGUUAUCUUCCCAGCACCCAGCGUGAUGCAAAGCACAUAGUAAAUGUUGAAUAAAUGCUUGCUGUGUGAA